CGAUCGAUUGCUUCCUUUUGGCUCCGUCCGUAGUCGCUGUGUUUUGCUAGUUGCAAUAAAUUCCAGUGCGACGAAGUCAUUGAUUUCUCCCUCUAUUCCAGGAGCUGCUGCUGCUGGUAGUGCUGCAUCUGUUGGAUCUGCUGCAGCUGCUGCAGCUGGCUCUGCUGCUGCAGGCUGAACUGCUGCUGCUGCUGUUGCUGCUGCUGCGACAGGAAGUGAGCGGCUGCCUGCCCGUCGUAGCCCUCAGUCCCCACGAGGUAGGAGCCGGCGGGAGGAGACGCCACACCCGACGGGUCGUUGUUGAUGGGAUCCCAGGCAUCCGAGGAUGAGAGGCAGUAGUGUCCCUGGGAGACGUAGGUGUGGGGCCACACCUCCGCUGAGGAGUGGUGCAAGAUCUGGUCUGGAGGAAGUAAGGAAUGAUAGCGGGAAAGCGGUACGAGAACCAUGAUUAUUUGAUAUGGUGGUGACUGAAUCAAUACAGUGAAAUUUUUAAUCAGAUCCAAUUGCACCACGAAAGUUGCACAAAACUUCAGAGAUCAAACUGAAUUGUGCAAGAUUCACUUCAGUGAGCAUGAAAGGAUUAACUUUGCUUAUUAUUAUUUUUUUGUUUAGAUUUUUUACAACACUUUCCAAAAGUACCAGCCUCAACAAGCAGUGUUACGAGAAAGAUACACAGGGCCUGACCCAAUAGUUAAGUUUACAUUAGUGUAUUACAGCGAUGCCUUGGUUAACAUUCAGGCUCAAACCAAAACGGACUCUAACCAAAGCAAAUUUUCCCAUAGAAAAUUAUGUAACUCCAGUUAAUCUGUUUAAAACACCGAAAAAUGUUAACGUAAAACACAUUUUAUAGACAUUAUUUAUAGUUGUACAUGCAGAAAAUGAUGCAAAAAGAAUUACAAAUAAAUAGACAACUGAACAUGUAACAUCAAAACGUAGUUUUGUUGGAAAACACCCACAAAACCAUCAAUUAUGGGCAAAAAGCUGGAUUAUCCACCAAACUGUUGCUGAAGCCUGAUGCCGUUCCAACAUUACUUUGUUAUGUUGAAGAGUCAGAAGCAUAAACUGUAAGUAAUUUAUCAGUGGUUGUCUGUGUAGCAUUACAUAGUGUGCAUACAGGAAGCGCCUGUACUGCAUUUUGGGUAAUUUGCAUACUAACAGUUGCACAUCUCAGAGGACCUGGGCUACACUGUGAACCCUACUCAUACCAUCAAAAAAAAAUCCCACUUCUUCCUGAGAAUGUUGAGAAGUAACAAACUCCACCUCCACCACUGCUGGAACUAUUUCUACCACUGUUCGAUAGAGAGUGUCCCUCACCUAUGGAUGCACUGUGUGGUAUGGAAAAGGAACAACUGCAGCAGGUCAUCAAGACAGCUCAACGAAUCAUCGGCUCGCCACUUCCCCACGUCUAGAGAGAUCUAUUUCAGUCGCCUCCUCCGACGGGCCAGACAGAUACUGGAUGACCCCGCCCACCAUGGGCACUCUCUAUUUGUCUAUCUUCCCUGUGGCAGACUCAGUCAUGAGAGCUUGGAGCACUAGACUGAAACAUACUGUAGCUUUUUGCCCAUGGCUGUGAAGAGAGUCUUUCUUGAUACAACUAAGGACUUGCAACAUUUAACAUUUUUCUGCACCUGUUUUUUUUUUUUUUUUUAUAAUUUAUUGCAUUUUUUUCAUUUUGCAAUCAUUCACAAUCCUUAUGUGAAACGUGUCAUUUGGUUUUUAACCAAGGCAGGUAUCACCUUUAAUACAGACUUUGACUCUAGAACAGAAAAAUGCUGACCAACUGGAGUUUGGCCAGCAUCCUGGAAUUGAUUCCGAGGCCUAGAUCCAAAAACCUGGCAUAUAAAUCUCUUAAAGACUAGUCAAGUGGCCUGCCCUGUAAUGUAGAUUCAUUACUUUUGUCACAUCUUAUGAUGCUGACACACAAGAACACUUUGUGCAAUAUUCCAUCUCUCAAGAGGCGGAUCUAAAUUAGACCCAAGAGUAAACACACAGCGAUUUUUUUUUUUCUACUCUGAGGUUAUUAUUUUUCGUGUAUUUGAUUUAAGAAUCAUGGGAUGGCUUCAUGCAAAUGUGCUAACGAAGCAUCACACCCUUUAAAUUGUAAAGGACAACAACAAAGUAAUGUGAAGCUCAUUAAGGCGUACCUGAGAAUUGCUUUUCUAUCAAAAUGUGCUGUUUAUGCAGACUACAUCAACUUUGCAAACGUUACCUCGACUGGUGAUGCUCUCCUGGUUGACCUCGCUCAGAUGGGCCACGCUGCCCUGGUUUGAACCUGACCGAGGGCUCUCGCCAUCCAUGGAUGACCAGGCCAGGAGGGUGGCCUCCGAAAUGGCAAACUGCUGCAGGAUACCUGAGGUUAAAGAUGAUAUUAAGGGUCAUGAAUGAUGCCUUAAUUGGCUGUUUAAGACGACAGGAGAAGAGCACUUGACAGGCACUGUGAAGGACCUUGCCCUUGUCAGUGGCUGUGUUUGCCAACCUGCGGCGAAUCGAGCUUCCUUCUCGCCGUCGCUCAGGUCACUGUAGGCGUCGUUCUCUAGCCGCCGCUCCUUUUCCCGCUCCUGGGUGCUGAUACGGGACUGGGGGAGGCCCCCCGAGCCUACUGUCUGCAUGCCCCAGUUCUGCCACUCAAUCAUGUGAGCGACGCGACCCUGAGCCAUGGCCGUGGGCUUGGUCACUCUUUCCUUCAUGGAGCGGGUCACACCUGAAGGGCGGAUGGGGUUGAGUUUGGGAGGAAAUGAGGGAAGUGUAGGAAUUGAAGGAGGUGGAUAAUAAAUGACAGGAGUUCAGGGAAUAUGGAGAAGAGACGUGGAGAAAUAGAAAAAAGGGGGAGGGGAAGACAUAGGAUAAUAGUGUUAUUAUCAAGUGUGUAUGACCGGUAGUGGAUGAUGUGAUGGCCUGUCGAAGAAAUGAAGCCUGCAGGGUGAGACUGAUAUAUUGCUUUUACGUUGUUAAUAUUGGGCUGUUAUGUUAAGUUAUGCCUUUAGAUAUGAUGUCAUAUUCUUGCAUUUGUUUGUUUUUUAAUGAUGUUCUAACAGUAAUAUGCAUCCUUAUAGAUUGUGAGCAUCAAACAUGAGAAGAAAAUGUCGACCUACAGACGUGGGAACUCUUGUCUUCGCUAGGGUCAGCGGUGUGCUGGAACCUAUCCCAGAAGUCUUCAGUCAAGAGGCGGGUCGAUUUUUCAUGAUGUGAUGAGGUCAAAAACCUUCUUCCUCGUUGACAUGGUAACGCCUCUUACUCUUACCGCUCCUAGCUAGUGUACGUAUAUGACCACACUUCAUAGUGUGAAAAAUAAACAGGCUUUGCUACAGCUAUGCUAACUAACUGUCAGUCUCUACAGACAUUUCAUAAUUUAGUUUUCUUCAGCGAAUACGCUUUAAAAGAUUAAACCAUCCAUCCUCAUAUUGUGACUUUAUUUUUUUAACAUUAUAUCUUUUCCAUUAUACUCCUUUUUAACAGACUAUUAUAUGAAUGUAACUGAAUACCAACCAACAUAACUCAGAAUCAGCCUUUAUCAAUACAGUUGACAACUUCCUGUUUUUUUUUAUUCUGUGUAAACAUAUUUUCCAUGUAGAUAUUUCCUUUUAUACGUCUCCUUCCACUCAGGCACAAGUAGUGAAGAGAUUUAGCACUUGAAUGAUCGAGUGCACAAGUGAAGAAGCUACACCCAUGUUCCUUCUUAAAAAGGCCCCCAAAAAAAUGAUCUUAUGAUGGCCCUGCAUGGGUGAGUUCUUCUCUUGCAAGGGCACGGCGGAGCAUAAUGCAUAAAUAAAUCAUGGAAUAGGUCUGCAGUACUUUUUGGGUUGAAAAGUGAAGCUGCGUUUUAGUGGAAAAUGGCUUUCUCUCCUGCACCCUGUCCCAGAGGAGAGAGAAAGAAGAGGAAGUGAGGAGAGGCUAUAAUGGGAAUGGUCACUGUUUUUUUUUUCUUUACGAGCACUGAGCAGCAACUCUUUUUCGAGGUGGACGUCGACACAUUGUUUGACCGCAGUGAGAUGCCGAUUGAUGGAAAUUGUUCACUCUUCCAGCUAUAUGCCACCCUAUCAUGUGCAGACGUAUGUGCUGGAAAUGGAAGUGAUUGACAGUGACGCACAGCGGUACUUUCCUAAUCUACUAGUGAGAGCAGGAGAGCACGUGACUCGAGUCAGGGGAUGAGGGGGGGUGUGGGUGGGUGAGGUGAGCUGCCUGUCAACACCGCACCUCACCGUGCAACUACUUCAAGUCAGCCAUGUUGGUUCCUCGGCUUGUCCUGGCUUGUGGCAAAAGUUCUGCUUAACGGCGAAUGAGGUCUUACCUGCUCCCCAUCCUUCUGGACUGGCACGCCAUCUGCUGCUGAGUGCAGAGACAACAGGGGGGAGAAACACAGAGAGAGAGGAGAAAUGUUAAUGUUCCAUUUCAUUGAUUCGACUUGGAGACAAUCAUGCUUCAAUCGUGCUUAAGUAUAUCAUCUUCUAUAGAUAGCGGCCAUAUGCAUUUUCUCCAAAAUAUCCAACCUGUACCAUCACACUUUUCAGCACUGGUCCCAGUUGUGUGGUACGGUUUGCUUGUAUACAGUACCGCUAGACAAGCUUGAGUCUUUUGCCGUCAGUAUUGUCACUUCUGUGAAUGUAAGGAAUGGAUUUAAAAGAAAAAUUAACCAUUUAAUGCAGGGGUCUCAAACUCAACUCAACCACCGGAGCUAGGUUCUGGGUGAAGCCGAGCCGCAUCAGGUUUUCAAAAAAAAAAACCCAAAACGCAUUUAUUAAAAACUGGAAAAAAAAAAAAUCUUCAAUGCUUUUGCUUCUGCUAUACCCUACACUUUUUCAGUACUUUGGUUCCGGUUUUCCACACCAAAAUAUCUGAUAAAACAUUCCACUGUUCUCAAAUAUCUUAAUAAAAAAAUAUAUAAAUAAAUAAAUAAACAAAUUAAGA